rnacentral:rRNA from 1 species
GAGUAACAUAUCGGAACGUACCGAGUAAUGGGGGAUAACUAAUCGAAAGAUUAGCUAAUACCGCACAUUCUCUGAGGAGGAAAGCAGGGGACCUUCGGGCCUUGCGUUAUUCGAGCGGCCGAUAUCUGAUUAACUAGUUGGUGGGGUAAAGGCCUACCAAGGCGACGAUCAUUAGCGGGUCUGAGAGGAUGAUCCGCCACACUGGGACUGAGACACGGCCCAGACUCCUACGGGAGGCAGCAUUGGGGAAUUUUGGACAAUGGGCGCAAGCCUGAUCCAGCCAUGCCGCGUGUCUGAAGAAGGCCUUCGGGUUGUAAAGGACUUUUGUCAGGGAAGAAAAGGCUGUCGCUAAUACCGACAGUUGAUGACGGUACCUGAAGAAUAAGCACCGGCUAACUACGUGCCAGCAGCCGCGGUAAUACGUAGGGUGCGAGCGUUAAUCGGAAUUACUGGGCGUAAAGCGAGCGCAGACGGUUACUUAAGCAGGAUGUGAAAUCCCCGGGCUCAACCUGGGAACUGCGUUCUGAACUGGGUGACUAGAGUGUGUCAGAGGGAGGUAGAAUUCCACGUGUAGCACUGAAAUGCGUAGAGAUGUGGAGGAAUACCGAUGGCGAAGGCAGCCUCCUGGGAUAACACUGACUUUCAUGCUCGAAAGCGUGGGUAGCAAACAGGAUUAGAUACCCUGGUAGUCCACGCCCUAAACGAUGUCAAUUAGCUGUUGGGCAACUUGAUUGCUUAGUAGCGUAGCUCACGCGUGAAAUUGACCGCCUGGGGAGUACGGUCGCAAGAUUAAAACUCAAAGGAAUUGACGGGGACCCGCACAAGCGGUGGAUGAUGUGGAUUAAUUCGAUGCAACGCGAGAACCUUACCUGGUCUUGACAUGUACG